rnacentral:rRNA from 1 species
AAACAUCUUUUCUUGAUAUUUUUAUGAAAUUUGUCCUGCCCAAUGAAAUUUUAAUGGCCGCAGUAUUUUGACUGUGCAAAGGUAGCAUAAUCAUUAGUUUAUUAAUUAUAGGCUUGUAUGAAUGGUUUGACGAAAUAUUAACUGUCUCAUUUUAAAUAAUAUAAUUUAAAUUUUAGGUUAAAAUGCUUAAAUUUUAUUAUAGGACGAGAAGACCCUAUAGAUCUUUAAUAGUUUAGGUUUUAAAUUAUUUAGUAGAUUUUGUUUUAUUAUUUAUUUAUUUUUGUUGGGGUGACAUUAAGAUAGAAUUAACUCUUAAUUAUUAAAUACAUUUAUUUAUGUUAAAUUGACCUUAAUUAUUGUUUAUAAGAUAUAGAUACCUUAGGGAUAACAGCGUAAUCUUUUUUAAGAGUUCUUAUCGACAAUAAGGAUUGCGACCUCGAUGUUGGAUUAAGAUAAAUUUUAGGUGUAGAAGCU